GCGGGUGUAGCUCAGUUGGUAGAGUGCCAGCCUUCCAAGCUGGAUGUCGAGAGUUCGAACCUCUUCGCCCGCU
rnacentral:tRNA from 1 species